GUAGGUGGCAAGCGUUGUCCGGAAUUAUUGGGCGUAAAGCGCGCGCAGGCGGUUCUUUAAGUCUGAUGUGAAAGCCCACGGCUCAACCGUGGAGGGUCAUUGGAAACUGGUGAACUUGAGUACAGAAGAGGAAAGCGGAAUUCCACGUGUAGCGGUGAAAUGCGUAGAGAUGUGGAGGAACACCAGUGGCGAAGGCGGCUUUCUGGUCUGUAACUGACGCUGAGGCGCGAAAGCGUGGGGUAGCAAACAGGGAUUAGAUACCCUGGUAGUCCACGCCGUAAACGAUGAGUGCUAAGUGUUAGGGGGGUUUCCGCCCCCUUAGUGCUGCAGCUAACGCAUUAAGCACUCCGCCUGGGGAGUACGGCCGCAAGGCUG
rnacentral:rRNA from 1 species